AGCUCCAAUAGCGUAUAUUAAUGCUGUUGCAGUUAAAAGGCUCGUAGUCGAAAUUAUGCUUCCUCGAACCCGGCCCUCUGUCAUUGUACAGUGCGUGUUGGUGUUCAGGUGUCAUCUUUCUGAAGACCGUUUCUGCCCUUGAUUGGGUUGGUCUCGGGGUUCAGAUCUUUUACUGUGAGUAAAUCAAAGUGUUCAAGGCAGGUACUCUACCUGAAUGUAUUAGCAUGGAAUAAUGAGAUAGAACUUUGGUUAUAUUUUGUUGGCUUCUACAAUCAAAGUAAUGAUGGAAAGGGGCAGUUGGGGGUGCUAGUAUUUAACGGUAAGCGGUGAAAUGCAUGGACCCGUUAAAGACUAACCUAUGCGAAAGCAUUCACCAAGGAUGUCUUCUUUGAUCAAGAAC
rnacentral:rRNA from 1 species